ensembl:snRNA Gm25475 predicted gene, 25475
AUUGCUUCUUGGCCUUUUGGAUAAGAUCAAGUGUAGUAUCUGUUCUUAUCAGUCUCAUAUCUGAUAUGUCCUUUAUCCAAGGACAAUAUAUAUAUAUAUAUAUAUAUUUUAAACAUUUAUUUAUUAUUAUAUGUAAGUACACUAUAGCUGUCUUCAGACACACCAGAAGAAGGUGUCAGAUCUC